AUGCCCCGCUCCCGCCUCCGUCGCUACGCCUCCACCAUGCCGAUGUCCAGCCUCCGUCCCCUCCACCGCAGCUCCUCCUCCACCACGUCGCCUGCACGCGCCUGGUCCCCCCAUGCCGCCUUCGCCGCGGCCACGGAGCGUGUCCGCGCCGGGACGGUCAGGCCGGAAGACGCACACACCCUGUUCGACGAAUUGCUUCGGCAGGCCACACCGGUCCCCCAGCGAUCCCUGAACGGCUUCCUUGCCGCCCUCGCCCGUGCGCCCGCCUCCGGCGCCUGCAUCAGAGAUGGCCCCGCCCUUGCAGUGGCUCUCUUCAACCGUGUGUGCAGAGACGAAGCCGGCCCGCAGGUGGCGGCGCUCACAGGCUGCACCUACAGCAUCCUCAUGGACUGCUGCUGCCGCGCCCGUCGCCCGGACCUAGGGCUUGCCUUAUUUGGCCGCUUCCUCAGGGAAGGCCUGAAGACAGACCAGAUCGUCGCCAACACCUUCCUCAAGUGCCUCUGCUACGCGAAACGGACGGAUGAGGCAGUGGACGUGCUGCUUCAUAGGAUGUCCGAGCUCGGGUGUGUGCCUGAUGCCUUCUCAUACAACACUGUCCUGAAGAGCUUAUGCGACAAUGGCAUGAGUCAGCGGGCGCUCGACCUGCUCCAGAGGAUGGCGAAAGAAGGAGGUGUCUGCUCUCUCAAUCUGGUGGCAUAUAACACGGUCAUCCAUGGCUUCUUUAAGGAAGGUGAAACAGGCAAGGCAUGCAGUCUGUUCCAUGAAAUGAUGCAGCAAGGUGUUGUGCCCAAUGUGUGGACGUAUACCUCGAUUAUUGAUGCAUUGUGCAAGGCCAGAGCAAUGGACAAGGCAGAGCUAGUCCUUCGUCAGAUGGUUGCUAAAGGUGCUCAACCUGAUAUAGUGACAUAUACUUGCAUGAUCAAUGGAUAUGCCACAUCUGGGCGGUUGAAAGAGGCUGCUAAAAUGUUCAGAGAAAUGAAAAGCCGGGGUCUUACACCAAAUAUUGUUACCUGCGGCUCGUUAAUGACUUACCUUUGCAAGCAUGGAAGAAGCAAAGAAGCUAGAGAAAUAUUUGAUUCCAUGACUGCCAAAGGCCACAGAGCUAAUGUCGUCUCGUACUGUAUUUUGCUUCAUGGGUAUGCCAAUGAAGGAUGCUUUGCUGAUAUGAUUGAUCUCUUUAAUUCAAUGAAAAGCAACGGUAUUGCAGCCGACUGCCGUGUUUUCAACAUAUUAAUUAAUGGAUAUGCUAAACGUGGAAAGAUGGAUGAAGCUAUGCUCAUAUUUACGGAAAUGUGGGAAAAAGGAGUGAGUCCCGAUGUGGUUACCUAUUCCACUGUAAUAGCUGCACUUUCCAGGAUGGGUAGAUUGACCGAUGCCAUGGACAAAUUUAAUCAGAUGAUUUCCAUGGGGGUUCAACCGAACACAGCUGUUUAUCACUCCCUAAUUCAGGGCUCUUGUAUGCAUGGUGAUUUGAUUAAAGCCAAGGAGCUGGUUUCUGAAAUGAUGAACAAAGGUAUUCCUCGUCCUAGCAUUGCGUUCUUCGGUUCAAUAAUAAACAGGUUAUGCAAAGAUGGAAGGGUUAUGGAUGCACAUGAUAUCUUUGACUUGGUUAUAGACAUAGGCGAGAGGCCUAGUGUCAUUACAUUUAAUUCACUGAUUGACGGAUAUUGCUUAGUCGGGAAGAUGGAUAAAGCAUUUAAAAUACUCGAUGCCAUGGAAGUAGUUGGUGUUGAGUCUGAUGUUAUUACAUAUAGUACACUUCUUGAUGGCUAUUUUAAAAAUGGAAGGAUCAAUGAUGGUUUGACUCUGUUUAGAGAAAUGCCGCAUAAGGGAAUUAAACCUGACACUGUGACAUAUGGCAUCAUGUUGGAUGGGUUGUUUCGUGCUGGCAGAACUGUUGCUGUAAGGACAGUGUUCCAUGAGAUGAUCGAAAGUGGAAUAACAGUGGACAUCCCCACAUACAAUAUAGUUCUUGGAGGACUUUGUAGAAAUAACUGCACAGAUGAAGCAAUCGCCCUGUUCCAGAAAUUAGGUGCAAUGAGUGUGAAGUCCAAUAUUGCAAUACUCAAUACCAUGAUCGAUGGAAUGUACAAGGUUCGGAGAAGAGAAGAAGCCAAUGAUUUAUUUGCUACAAUAUCAGCCAGUGGAUUGGUGCCCAAUGAAUCUACUUAUGCAGUAAUGAUAAUAAAUCUUCUAAAAGAUGGAGCAGUGGAAGAAGCAGACAAUAUGUUUUCAUCAAUGGAGAAAACUGGUAUAGUCCCCAGCUCCCGUCUGUUAAAUCACAUCAUCAGAAUGUUGUUGGAAAUAGGUGAGAUUGCCAAGGCCGGAAAUUACUUGUCUAAAGUUGAUGGGAAGAGCAUCUCACUUGAAGCGUCAACAACUUCAUUGAUGUUGUCUUUCUUUUCGAAGAAAGGCAAAUAUCGGGAGGACAUGAAAUUGCUGCCUGCAAAGUUUCAAAUUUUUGAUGGAUUUGGUUGA
rnacentral:rRNA from 1 species